AGAGAGAGAGAGAGAGAGAGAGAGAGAGAGAGAGAGAGAGAGAGAGAGAGAGAGAGAGAGAGAAUCUGAAUUGGAGGAGAGAACACGGUGCCUCCUAAAGGAAACCAAUUUCUCUUGAAGUCAGGCAGACCUGUGAGAGGAGCUAUGAGCUUGGAAAAAGGGAAAGCUGUGCUCAUGGAUGCUGCUGAGCCGAAUCCUGAAUCCUGUUAAAAUAGUAAAGUGAUGCCUCUCUAACGGAAUGAGAAGAAAGAGCAGGCGGUGACAGGAACUGGCAGCAGUCACAUUACAAGGAGGAUACUGAAAGUCACUUUUACAAAGCCCUGGGAGGGAGUGUGGCUUUGUCAGAUGGGGAGAGGGUCUGUUAUGUAGUUCAAGAUGUCUUUGAACUCAUAAUCCUCCUGCUUCAACUUCUGGAGGAUUGAAAUCAUAAUACUGCACUGUACAGUCAACCUCUAUCAAUGCUUUCGUGACACACAUUUUUGUCAUUUAGGACACUGGAUACAGCUACAGAUGGGGAAAAUGAAGUAAGAACAAGUGCAACGAUUUCUAUGUCCCUUUAUUUUAUCUUAACUGAUGUAAUCCCAGAUCUUCCAACUGGCUGAUGACAGAAUUCAGGUUUUAGAUACUCUCUCUUGAUUCCAGAGAAAGGCAAACAUGUUCUGUACUUUUUCACUUGCUUCCUACUUGCUGGAGUGUCACCUCAGACAUGCUGGAUUAAUCAGUAUCAACGAGGGUUAAUAGCAAAGCAGUGGGAGUCACUGCAGAGAGCAGUACAUGGAGCAGGUUUGCUGAAAUUUAAUCAUUAAUAGUAAUUAUUGAGGUUUUCUUAGCCUAUGUGAUCUCAUCUGUAACUCAUCAACAAUGAAGCACAGAACUGUAUGAUUACACAGUCUUGGCAGGAAUUUUCUGGAAAGAAUUGUACUAGCAUAAGGAAUAACUCCAAUAAUUAGUAAAUGGAAAAGUAUGAAAAACCUUUUGUGUGGCAGAAGAAACAAUCACCAGGGUGACAAGACAGAUUCCAGAACGGGAAAACAUUCUUGCAUGUGUGUGAAAUGAGAAAACUUCCAAGAGUCAGUCCUCUCCUUCCAUCAUCUGAAGCAAUCUCAUGUCAUUUCUGCUGUUCUGAGUGCUCCAACUGGGCUGGCCCACCAGUGUCCAGGCACAUGGCUUGGAAUUCAUAACUAUACACAUAUGGAUCAGAGUGCUUAGAAGGAAAUUCUACUCUUCUGGAAUACUAAAUGCAAAAUUAAAGUCUGCCACCGCAAGCAGAACUGAAAGAAAUGAAAUGGAAUAUGAAGCAUGGCCUUUUAAAGCAUUAUUAACAGCUAAUGUGUGCAUUUUGCCUGAAGAAUAAAAUAAUGUCAUUGAUGUAACUUGAAUUCUGAUUUAUUUUGGUAAGUUACUUUGAAAUAUAUAGGAAAGAGACAUUAAUAAAGGUACUCAAUUCUGUCACCUCUUA